UACGGGGGGGAGCAAGCGUUUGUUCGGAUUUACUGGGCGUAAAGGGCGCGUAGGCGGUCAGCACAAGUCAGUUGUGAAAUCUCCGAGCUUAACUCGGAAAGGUCAACUGAUACUGUGCGACUAGAGUGCAGAAGGGGCAACUGGAAUUCUCGGUGUAGCGGUGAAAUGCGUAGAUAUCGAGAGGAACACCUGCGGCGAAGGCGGGUUGCUGGGCUGACACUGACGCUGAGGCGCGAAGGUCAGGGGAGCAAACGGG
rnacentral:rRNA from 1 species